GCUUGGGGGUAUACUCGCCGUCAUCUGCAUAAUUUGUGUGAAAUUGCGACUACAAAUUGCUCAUCUUAACCCCCUCGCACUCGGACCCAAAAAAAUAAAGAUGGAUAUAACCAUUCGUCCGGACUUUGGAGUGCGGCAAGCGAUUCGCGGGAUUUAUGGACGGCGAAGCCGAGCGCCACACGAGUUCUGUUAUCAAGGUGCUUUACUACUCCCAUUACCAGAUUCGACUUCCCCCUGCCCGCGAACAUAUAUGCGAGCGAGUAUCGCUUUAUGCGCAUAUAUAUUACCCGACAAUUGAAAUUGUUUGCUCUCAGCGAAUCGCGCUGAGUUCGCUGCCAAAUCGCGGCUGACAUUGUCGGACUGCCUGCCAAAGCAAUGGCAAUUGGAAUGAAUGUUAGUAAAUAAAUAAAUAUUGUAAACAAAUGUUCGUUUUUUGCUGGCUUGGCAUAUGUACAGCUGGCUGUUGCUGCUGCAGUUCCACUGCUCCACUGCUUCACUGCUCCGCUGCUCCGCUGCUGUAUUUGCCGUACUUGCUGUUGCAACAAAUGAGCUUGUCAAGUUAAAUGGCACGCACCAAAUGCUGUCAGCGAGGUUGCAAGCACACACACACACACACGCACACACUCAUAGUUACAUGGACAUAGACACCAAUACUUAUGAACUGGCGUUGCCGCCAUUUUGUCUGGCUGCACUGAGUAAAUUGUUGCAAUUGCUGACUGUAAAUAACCCGAGCACAAUGUGGCACAACACGGCGUAUUAGUAAUCUAGUUUAUUUCUGUACAUGGCAAUCGCAGCAGGGGAAGUUGGGCGAUUUCUGGGGGGUUGCUUUGGCGCUGGAACAAAGUCUGGAAACUUUGAUUUCCUCCCCGCUCGCCACAUUUCUUUGACCAACUGAAAAGUUUGGUUUAAGUUUCGAACUGUAAACUUUAUGGUUGAAAUAACUUUCUGAAUAACUUGAUUGAUUCAUUGGGGAUAUACGGAUACCAAAGUUUACAACAACUAUAUGCAAAAGGUUUCUUUGUGUACAAUCACAAUUUAAGAAGAUAUUAAGCAUUGGUAAUAAAUGUAGCAUAAAUAUUAAACUUUGUAUGCAAAUCAUUCUAACGAGUUAGUUAUUUUAAAUACUUUUAUAAUUAGUUACAAGUAUUUUGCAACUAAUUGGCAAUUUCAGAUAAUGAAUAUUUAAAUUUGAACAUUUUACUUAUUCUGUAACGGCGCCUGUAGCGACCAGAUAGUUUAGUUCGGCCUAGAAGCAUGCUUUAAAAUAUAUCUAAGCUCGGCUUAGUGUCUUAGCUAAUUACACAUAUGUUCGAUAAAUCAGCUGUAACAGAGAUGCAGUGGGAAGCUCGUCUUAGACAUAUGGUGUUAUCAUCUGUGGCGAACUUCCGACCAUACCCUAGCCCAACACUACCUAUAUUUGGUAAGGUUCUUUUCUGAUUGACAUCCGAUAUGAGCAGACGUGCCAAUUUUUCUCAACGUCAACAAAGUUUUGUUUAAACACUAUAUAUUGAAAUCGUGGAAAAUAAUAAGAGGAAUAAGUGCAGCGAGCCUAGCUGAAUAAUAUUUUUGUGAUUAAUUUUGGAAAACUAUUGCGAUAUAUAUAUGAUAUAUAUAUUUCUCACGUGGCCAUCAAUAUUGGCAUCCGUGGGAGCACCCCUUCAAGACAGUGGGGGGCAUGAUUGUAUAUCGUGCCCCAAAUUAAAUCGGAUAAGGAAAAUUAAGGAAUAAGAAUCGGAAUUAAAGGAAAAUUAAGGAAUAAAAAUCGGACAAGAAAAAUGAGGAGUUUCAGCUGGAAUUAAAUUCAAGAAUGCGGCAUUAAAGAAGUGAUUUAGAGAGAUGUUUAACCCUCUCUACCCACGGCAGCAGCAGCAGCAGAUUUAGUAUAGCCAAAUAUGGACACAAAAGGGAAUAUAUAACCUGGAAUUGCUUUUAAGCCGCUACUGCGAUUUUUUUUUAAGUGAAAUAUUAUAAUUAAAAAUUUGAAAGUUUUGAAACGUGCCAAAGUGAAGAAAAUUUAAUGAAUCAAAGAUAGCAACAUGCCGUAAAAAUCAAGUUUAAGUGAUAUUUUCUAAAGUCUGAAUGAUUCAGUCUAAAACGUAAUAUUUAAAUUAAAUUAAAUUUAAAACUUAAUUUUUCACGAGUGGAGUUAUUUACGCAUCGAUUUUGUUUUGGAAAAUUCGCUCAACUAUGACUUAAAAGCGAUAAAUUAAAUAUUUAUUUUUUUUUGUAAAUUUAGAUAUAAUUUGAAAACAGCAACUUCUGAUAAGAAACAAUAGUGAAUAUUAAAUUUAAAAAUGUGGUUAAGUGAAGAUAUCACAGUCGGUUCUCAGUAAAAUAUGUAUGCCUAAAAGGGUUCCAAGUUAAAAGAUUUUUAUAGAAUAGUUUUGUGUUUUCGAGCCCCAAUUUCACCCUUUACAGCCACCUGCCCGGGAGAUCGAUCUUUCGCCGCUGGAACAACGUAUAAGCUGUGAGUUUAUUAUUCUCAUUAUUGCAUUUAUAUCUAUUCUAUUUAUAUCUUAUUGCGAAAUACUCUAUGAAAUAAUUUUUAACAAUCUACUUGAAUGAAACUGUGAAUUUAAAAGAACCCUGAACCGAUAGCCUCACUAAACUAAAUUAAAUUAAACAAAAAGAUAUCAAACAGAAUGAAGAUGAUUUAGUGAAAUAAAAAAAAUAAAUUAAA